rnacentral:rRNA from 1 species
CCUACGGGGGGCAGCAGUGAGGAAUAUUGGUCAAUGGACGAGAGUCUGAACCAGCCAAGUAGCGUGCAGGAUGACUGCCCUAUGGGUUGUAAACUUCUUUUAUAUGGGAAUAAAAUGUUCCACGUGUGGGUUUUUGUAUGUACCAUAUGAAUAAGGACCGGCUAACUCCGUGCCAGCAGCCGCGGUAAUACGGAGGAUCCGAGCGUUAUCCGGAUUUAUUGGGUUUAAAGGGAGCGUAGGUGGAUUGUUAAGUCAGUUGUGAAAGUUUGCGGCUCAACCGUAAAAUUGCAGUUGAAACUGGGAGGCUUGAGUACAGUAGAGGUGGGCGGAAUUCGUGGUGUAGCGGUGAAAUGCUUAGAUAUCACGAAGAACUCCGAUUGCGAAGGCAGCUCACUGGACUGCAACUGACACUGAGGCUCGAAAGUGUGGGUAUCAAACAGGAUUAGAUACCCCAGUAGUC